rnacentral:rRNA from 1 species
CUUGGUCAUUUAGAGGAAGUAAAAGUCGUAACAAGGUUUCCGUAGGUGAACCUGCGGAAGGAUCAUUAAUAAGUGCUAGAAGCCGUAAGGCAACUGGCAAAGUGUCGCGGUGCGUACCCUCACCGGUACGUAUGGUGUUAGAGAUUCGUCUUUGACACCCUUGUGCGGGGAGAGAAAUCUUCCUUGCACGAGCCGUGGCAUAACCCCAACCCUAUGUUAAUUCUACCUUUGUUGCUUUGGCGGGCCGCGCUUUAGCGCUCUCGGCUCCGGCUGAGACGUGCCCGCCAGAGGACCCAACUCUUGAUUUUAGUGAUGUCUGAGUACUAUAUAAUAGUUAAAACUUUCAACAACGGAUCUCUUGGUUCUGGCAUCGAUGAAGAACGCAGCGAAAUGCGAUAAGUAAUGUGAAUUGCAGAAUUCAGUGAAUCAUCGAAUCUUUGAACGCACAUUGCGCCCCUUGGUAUUCCGAGGGGCAUGCCUGUUCGAGCGUCAUAUUAACCACUCAAGCCUAGCUUGGUCUUGGGGUUCGCGGUUCGCGGCCCUUAAAAUCAGUGGCGGUGCCAUCUGGCUCCAAGCGUAGUAAUUAUUCUCGCUUUGGAAUCCUUCGGUUGCUUGCCAAUAACCCCCAAUUUUUUAAGGUUGACCUCGGAUCAGGUAGGGAUACCCGCUGAACUUAAGCAUAUCAAUAAGCGGAGGA